rnacentral:rRNA from 1 species
GACGAACGCUGGCGGCGUGCUUAACACAUGCAAGUCGAACGGAAAGGCCCUGCUUUUGUGGGGUGCUCGAGUGGCGAACGGGUGAGUAACACGUGAGUAACCUGCCCUUGACUUUGGGAUAACUUCAGGAAACUGGGGCUAAUACCGGAUAGGAGCUCCUGCUGCAUGGUGGGGGUUGGAAAGUUUCGGCGGUUGGGGAUGGACUCGCGGCUUAUCAGCUUGUUGGUGGGGUAGUGGCUUACCAAGGCUUUGACGGGUAGCCGGCCUGAGAGGGUGACCGGCCACAUUGGGACUGCGAUACGGCCCAGCCUCCUACGGGAGGCAGCAGUGGGGAAUGUUGCACAAUGGGCGGAAGCCUGAUGCAGCAACGCCGCGUGCGGGAUGACGGCCUUCGGGUUAUAAACCGCUUUCGCCUGUGACGAAGCGUGAGUGACGGUAAUGGGUAAAGAAGCACCGGCUAACUACGUG